GCUAGCUUCCGACUUCAUGAAAAACCCAAUUCAGCUCAACGUUGGAUCAAUGAAUCUUUCUGCCAGCAAUAACAUCUUGCAAAUUGUUGACAUUUGCCAGGAACACGAGAAGGAACAAAAGUUGGGUAGUUUACUACAGGAAAUUGCUGGCGCCUCAGAUCCAGGCCAGAAAAUCAUCAUAUUCGUAGAGACAAAGCGAAAGGUUGAGGGAAUCACCCAGCAAAUCAGACGUGUCGGCUGGCCCGCAGUUUGCAUGCAUGGAGACAAGAGCCAGCAAGAGCGUGACUAUGUGAUGAGGGAAUUCCGUGCCGGAAAAUCGACGAUUCUCGUAGCGACAGAUGUCGCCGCUAGAGGGCUCGAUGUGGAAGGGAUCAAAUACGUAGUAAAUUAUGAUUAUCCCAAUUCGUCUGAGGACUACAUCCACAGAAUUGGUAGAACUGGACGUUCUGAUACGACCGGAACAUCUUACGCCUUCUUCACUCCUUCCAACUUCAAGCAGGCGAAGGAU
rnacentral:misc_RNA from 1 species